CCUACGGGAUGCAGCAGUGAGGAAUAUUGGUCAAUGGACGCAAGUCUGAACCAGCCAUGCCGCGUGCAGGAAGACGGCUCUAUGAGUUGUAAACUUCUUUUGUCAAGGGACAAAAUCAGGCUCGAGAGCCUGACCGAGGGUACUUGAAGAAAAAGCAUCGGCUAACUCCGUGCCAGCAGCCGCGGUAAUACGGAGGAUGCGAGCGUUAUCCGGAUUUAUUGGGUUUAAAGGGUGCGUAGGCGGGCUGUUAAGUCAGCGGUAAAAGCCCGGGGCUCAACCCCGGCGAGCCGUUGAAACUGGCUGUCUUGAGAUGUCGAGAGGUAUGCGGAAUGCGCAGUGUAGCGGUGAAAUGCUUAGAUAUUGCGCAGAACUCCGAUUGCGAAGGCAGCAUACCGGCGGCGAUCUGACGCUGAGGCACGAAAGCGUGGGUAUCGAACAGGAUUAGAUACCCUUGUAGUC
rnacentral:rRNA from 1 species